UACAGAGGUCUCAAGCGUUGUUCGGAUUCAUUGGGCGUAAAGGGUGCGUAGGCGGCGCGGUAAGUCGGGUGUGAAAUUUCGGAGCUUAACUCCGAAACUGCAUUCGAUACUGCCGUGCUUGAGGACUGGAGAGGAGACUGGAAUUUACGGUGUAGCAGUGAAAUGCGUAGAGAUCGUAAGGAAGACCAGUGGCGAAGGCGGGUCUCUGGACAGUUACUGACACUGAGGCACGAAGGCCAGGGGAGCAAACGGG
rnacentral:rRNA from 1 species